AUAUAAAGAAACUGAAAUUCACCAGAUCAUUCCAUCUGGAGAAUGAGACCACAGCCUCCUCACUCAUCUUGAUUGCCAAACGAAUCACACGUUGCCUGCUGACCAACUACUCGUCCUUACCCCUCCCUAAUUGCUGUUUUUCUGCAGGUGAAACUCUAAAAUCUAUCAUAUGGAAUUAGUCAUGGUUCCCUCCACUACCAUUCACCUGAAAAUAUUGACAUUUAUCCACCUACAUAAUCAAGUCCUAGAACCUGAAAAAAAAUCUCAUUAUCCCAUGCCACAUCUCAGGUAAUAGCUAAGGAUGAUUGUUAUUUACUUAAUAAAAUGUGUGGGUACCUUUUUUCUGGGCAACGUUUUCCGAAUUAGCUUUCUGCUCAAUAUUAUAUUUACUUGAACUACAAUACCAUUGGCCUUUGUUAAAUUGCAUAGAAAUGCAUCAUGUUGAACCUAUUUGCAGUAACUAUAUGUCUUCGGAGCAUACCGCAAUUCCAGGAAGAAAAUGUGAGAAAUCUUCUCUGGAAUGAGAGCCCAGGACUUGGCUGCCAGUAACUGCUGCAGGAGAAACAGCCUUCUCUCCCCUGCGUUUGUGUUUCCAGCAUCCCGGCCUCCCUCCACACUCUGUUACUUCCCUGGUGGAAGAGGGAGAGGAUUAUCUGAGUGGGAAGUUCAGAGAGAAGAAGCUGGCAGGCAUGGUUAAUCCCUUCACUCCUUUCUCUGGGAUUCACCUCUCUGCAAGCUGUUUCUUCUUGACUCUUGGCUUUUGUGCAUUUACAAUAAGACCCCAGGCUCCAGGAAGGGAGCCCGGUGGUAGCACAGACACCUAUGGCUGGGAGGAUGGGUCUCCUAGUUCUAGGGCUCAUUGUUCAGAAGUCCCUAGUACUGCAGUCCUCAGCCAUAUCUUCCCCCAUAGCAGUAAUAAGGCUGAUAUUUUUAUCUCCCUCUACCAAACCUCUGCAUUUAUCUCUUAGGUGGUUCCAAGUCUGAGUGAGUGAGUGUCACUGGUUUUCUUUAAGUCCUCACAGGAAUCCAAGAUCAAGAAUAAAUGUGUUGAAAGAAAUUAAAAUAUUAGCAUCGUAUAUACUUAAAGAUUCAAGAUUCACUUGAUCUACUUAAUUGAAUAUUAGCAAAGAUAAAAGACACGUUCUCAUUUUUCUUCUCUUUGAAGCCUCAUAUAUUCAUGCUUGGGGGCUCAGGAGGCUAAAACAUACUGAGAAUAUACACAUCUGUCUUCCCAAAUCUCUCCUCAAUUUUCACAAAACAUGUUUAAAAACUAUUAAUCUUGUAAACAAAAAAUAUUUGGUUUACUCUUAUAUUUAGAAAACUCUAAAUGUCAAGGAAGCAAAAGUUACAGGUGUGGAAUGCACUACCCUUAAAUUUAGGGUGAACAGGUGAUGGCAGCUGCCACCUGUGGGUUGCAGGGAGUUGACUGUGUGGACUCUUGCUCAUGAUGGCCUGUGAGUAUUCACCUAACACUAUCUGAUAGCAAUAUUUUACAGAAAUUGUCAAAUGCCUCUAGUUUCUUUGCAACAGUCUUAAAGUAAUAAGUGGCCAGACAAUAGAUUAUAAAAUAUAGGGAUGCAUCCCUCUCAAGUUCAGGUCAGGUAUUGUCUACCCCCAGCCCUAGACUAUGGGGCCCUGGAAGGUAAAUUCUCCUUCUUAUUAUUAGCUUUGUUAUCAGAUUGCCUCACAGUACUUAUGUAUAGCUGGCAAUAAAUAUUGCCUAAAACAACAUAAUUGGAUAAUCUGCUAAUGGUAAACAUGAGUCUCAAUAAGAGAACAGAAAAAGUAAGACGAUCUGUUGAGCUUUCUUGUGAGCUAUAUGGUGAAUAAAGUGUUUCUAAUGGUUUCGUGUCUUUUAGAUUUCAGGAUAAAUAGGUGCAUAUGAAUCAGCUGAUUUCUGUUACUGGAGUGCAGUAGUAGUACAGAUUUCCCAAGCUUUGAAUCAACAAACGCAGAAGUCUCUCUAACAUUAGGCCCCUUCCCACUUGUUAUUUUGUUGUUCAUUGCUAUGGGUUACCACAUCUCAUUCUGGAGAAAACAAAGCAGGUUUUCCAAAGUCAGGAAAUCUUACACAUCUUUCCAGAGAAGACCUUAUAUUCGACCCCAUCUCAGUUUCCUCGCCUAACGUAGGAAGCAGGAGACUUCUCCAGUGUCACAAAGCUGAUCAGGCAUGAAAACUGAGUCUCUUAACUCACACACUAGAGUUUUUUGUUUAGCAGUUGUGACCUGGGGUAGACGCUCACUGCAUGUAUUGCCUUUAAGAUGCCUGCUUUUGCACAAUUCACAAUUGCAAAGAUAGGGAACCAACCUAAUCGGCGAUCCACUGAUGAGCGGUAACGAAAAUAUGGUACAUACACACUAUGGAUACUAUUCAGUUAUAAAAAAAGAAUGAAAUGAUGUCUUCUGCAGUAACUUGGAGGGAACUGGAGGCUAUUUUUCUAAAUGAAGUAACUUGGGAAAGGAAAACCAAACACUGCAUGGGAGCUAAGCCAUGGGCAUGCAAGGGCAUACGGGGUGGUUAAUGAACAUUGGAGACCCAGAAGCGUGGAGGGCGGGGGUUAGGGAGAAAAACUACAUAUUGGGUACAGUAUAUACCACUAGGGUGACAGUGGUAUAUGCACUAAAAUUUCAGACUUUAC
rnacentral:lncRNA from 1 species